rnacentral:pre_miRNA from 1 species
UCAUGUUUAGUCACAUGUUUAGUCACAUGUUUAGUCACAUGUUUAGUCAAACAUGUGACUAAACAUGUGACUAAACAUGUGACUAAACAU